rnacentral:rRNA from 1 species
CCUACGGGUGGCAGCAGUGGGGAAUAUUGGACAAUGGGGGGAACCCUGAUCCAGCCAUGCCGCGUGUGUGAAGAAGGCCCUCGGGUUGUAAAGCACUUUCAGUGAGGAAGAACGCCUGGUGGUUAAUACCCAUCAGGAAAGACAUCACUCACAGAAGAAGCACCGGCUAACUCCGUGCCAGCAGCCGCGGUAAUACGGAGGGUGCGAGCGUUAAUCGGAAUUACUGGGCGUAAAGCGCGCGUAGGUGGCUUGAUAAGCCGGUUGUGAAAGCCCCGGGCUCAACCUGGGAACGGCAUCCGGAACUGUCAAGCUAGAGUGCAGGAGAGGAAGGUAGAAUUCCCGGUGUAGCGGUGAAAUGCGUAGAGAUCGGGAGGAAUACCAGUGGCGAAGGCGGCCUUCUGGACUGACACUGCCACUGAGGUGCGAAAGCGUGGGUAGCAAACAGGAUUAGAUACCCUAGUAGUC